rnacentral:tRNA from 1 species
CGCGGGGUGGAGCAGUUGGCAGCUCGUCGGGCUCAUAACCCGAAGGUCGGAGGUUCAAGUCCUUCCCCCGCAA